AGCGCGCCCUCCACGGCCGGGUGGGCUGUUUGAGGAGAGUGCCGCGGCCGACGCGCUGGUCAGGGGGGCCGUGGCGGAAAAGAGCACUAGACUCUGAACCCUCGGGCUCCUUCUCAGCCCCAGACUCCCUUUGUCCCGGGCAAGCCGGCCUCGUUUACUAGCCUUCCAGUCCACCAGCGCAGACCCGGCCGCCCUCUCGCGCAGGGCUAGGCUGCCAGCUCCGGGACAAUGCCAGCGCCUCUGCGACCUCGGGCCUGGCUACUCCCGCAGGCAGCGCAAGGCGAUGUUCAACCCUGGGACCCACGCCAGGCCACCGCCUCCGGGCAGCGCCGGGAUUGCUCUCUCCAGACAUACUUUUAAAAGGUCAUGCUUUGGGAGUAUUGUGUUGUGAGCGUGAACAGUGACAGACUGCAACAGCAUUAGCAGACCUAUAACUCUGUCACCAAUAGAAACCACAGUACGUGGAAUUGAACCCAGGAGCUGAGUUUCCUUUCAGUACUUGGAAUGAACCCUUGCACUCACUCGCUAUACUGUGCCACACUCUGAGCUCUUGACGUCUGAACAUUACUAAGGCAUGAACUAAAAGGUUCCUAUCCCCAACAUGAAGAUGAUUAUAGUUACUUCAUGGGGGCUGUUGUGAAGAUUGAGUUAUCACAUGGAGUGCUUAAUAUAAUGGCUGCCAUGGAUGAAGUGCCAUAUCCACAGUACUUUUCACAGUGCUGCACCACAAAACGUGCCCAAGAAAUAUUUGUUGCAUGACCAAGUGAGGACUGAAAAGAGGGCAGAUGGUAAUUCUGGAAGAGAAGGCUCAGCUAGAACAGAGGCAUGGAGACAGGCUACCUGUUAUGCUCAGGCUCUAAGCCUGGCCCGGCUUAGAGAGGCAGCUUGUGUCAGUACAGCUCCAGACUUGGCAGAUUGGGAGCUUUCAAGGCCUUUGUCUGGAUUCCCCUUUCUUUCUUGAGCAUUGCCACCCCUCCCUGCUCCUAGGCUUGACUGCAUAUACCUCUGAACCUGGGUCCUGUCAAUCUACGUAACACCUGAACUGGAAACUGUCCUUCCCACAGAGCUCAUUACAUCACUCUCUGGAGCCGAGAGGACUGUAUCUGUGCUACAGCUUUAAUUGGGACAGUCAACUCUAGCAGAAAUGCUCUAAAAGCAAGAGUGAGCUGCUGGUAGCUUGGAUCAGAGUUGUGACUUUCAGAGACUAGCCAGAUGGCUUCAUAAACAGAUUCCCUGGGUGGCAGGGGCAGAGGUGACAACAUACAAUGAAGGUGAAGAGUACAGGCGGGAAGCUGAAACAUCUCUUGAAGACAGGAAUGAGCAACAAGGAAGCAACACGUCUGACUUAGUGUUCAAGAAAGGUUAAGUAAUGAGGCUACUGGUAUCAGACUUUUAGUCCCUACAGACGUCAAGAGACAAGUGUUGCAAAUUCUUUUAAGCCUCAGAUACAUAAAUCCUCUUGUCUUUCUCCCCUACUUUCAAAAAUUGUGCAUAUUAUUCAAGAAAAACCGCAAAGCUUUGAGCUGGUACUGGUAGCCCAAUUUAAGGUCAGGUUUUGCAUAGAAGAUUCAGAGACAGGAAAUACAUUGGUAUAAAAGCAUUAGUGAGGGUAUUGAAGCAAUACCACCUUUUCCACUGUCUCCAAAUGAAAAUGUGCUAUGUCAUUUACUGGUGUCCUUUUCUGAUAGUUUAUUUGUAAAACCGACUACAGCACCUCAGCAUUGCCACUGACUGAUGUGAAAUCCCACAGAAUGUAAGAAAAGGGAAAAUUUUGCUGUACAACCUAGAGUCCAUUCUCAGGAGAGGAGGGAGCUGCUGAUCUGACUGAGAAUUUGAUAUUUUGACUUCCAUAGUUAAACAAAAUAGAGUAUUUUUCUCUUCUUUCCUAAGGAGUUGUCAUAAAAGAAAACACCAUCAUUCUUCCAUACAGGUUAGUAAACAGAUCUUCUGGACAUCUUCACCAUGUUCCUUCUAUAAUUUUAUGCCCCUAAAGCAUCAUUCAUCUUUGACAAGUCUGCCACAUUGGCCUGUUAAAUUUUAAACUAUUGAAUUUUCAUAAUCCUUUUUGUAAAUGAAUAUGCUCCCUACAGACUAUUAUUCCUGAGAGAACUAGGAAUUAUCUGAAAAAGAUGAUAAUUUAUGAUAAUAUAAGGCAAGACAAUUGUUCCUUUUGGAUUAAACAGUUCAAAGUUGAACUGAAGUCCAGGGUCUUGAAUUUUUAAUUAGUAUUAUCCAGUGCAAGAACUUUGUGGGCCAGUUUUGCCAUUGGUAGAACUUUCAUUGAAUAGAUAUUAGAGAGCAUUUGUUCAGGAGAAUUAAAUGAAAUAUAUUGGUCAGUUAUUUUCCAUAAGACUA